CGUCCUGGAGGACUUCUUUGACCAACUAGAUCUGAAGAGGAGGAUUUCAACGAUGUGGAAAUCAAUGUGGAGGAUCCGGUGAUCCAAGAAAGCGUGAGGUGGUUAGCCCUUGCUAGGGUUCAUACCGAGAAGAACUUCUCCCCGACCGCCUUCUACAAGGAUAUGAGAGCGGCCUGGAAUCCGGCUCAAAGUGUGAGAUUUCGCCCUGUUGGUCCCAAUAGAUUUGUAGUUCAGGCCUCAUGCCUGGGUGAUUGGGAGCAGAUGAUGAUGCAUGGGCCAUGGCUAUUCCGCAACAUGGCGGUUCUGAUGUGCCCGUAUGACGGGUUUAUCAAAGCUGAUGAGGUAGUCUUCGAUCAUAUGCCUAUAUGGUUACAGAUUCACAAGCUGCCGGAUCCAUAUUGCAAGUAG
rnacentral:rRNA from 1 species